UUCUGGGAUUCUCGGGUUUGGUUCGGU
rnacentral:piRNA from 1 species